rnacentral:rRNA from 1 species
CCUACGGGUGGCAGCAGUGAGGAAUAUUGGUCAAUGGACGAGCGUCUGAACCAGCCAAGUAGCGUGAAGGAUGACUGCCCUAUGGGUUGUAAACUUCUUUUAUAUGGGAAUAAAAUGUUCCACGUGUGGGAUUUUGUAUGUACCCUAUGAAUAAGGAUCGGCUAACUCCGUGCCAGCAGCCGCGGUAAUACGGAGGAUCCGAGCGUUAUCCGGAUUUAUUGGGGUUAAAGGGAGCGUAGGUGGAUUGUUAAGUCAGUUGUGAAAGUUUGCGGCUCAACCGUAAAAUUGCAGUUGAAACUGGCAGUCUUGAGUACAGUAGAGGUGGGCGGAAUUCGUGGUGUAGCGGUGAAAUGCAUAGAUAUCACGAAGAACUCCGAUUGCGAAGGCAGUUCACUGGACUGCAACUGACACUGAGGCUCGAAAGUGUGGGUAUCAAACAGGAUUAGAUACCCCAGUAGUC